rnacentral:rRNA from 1 species
CAAGACCUUGCGCUUUUGGAGCGGCCGAUGUCUGAUUAGCUAGUUGGUGGGGUAAUGGCUUACCAAGGCUUCGAUCAGUAGCUGGUGUGAGAGGACGACCAGCCACACUGGGACUGAGACACGGCCCAGACUCCUACGGGAGGCAGCAGUGGGGAAUUUUGGACAAUGGGGGAAACCCUGAUCCAGCCAUGCCUCGUGAGUGAAGAAGGCCUUCGGGUUGUAAAGCUCUUUCAGCCGGAACGAAAUGGUCAUGGUUAACACCCGUGACAAAUGACGGUACCGGAAGAAGAAGCACCGGCUAACUACGUGCCAGCAGCCGCGGUAAUACGUAGGGUGCAAGCGUUAAUCGGAAUUACUGGGCGUAAAGCGUGCGCAGGCGGUUUUGUAAGUCAGAUGUGAAAUCCCCGGGCUUAACCUGGGAGCU